rnacentral:rRNA from 1 species
GACAGAGGAUGCAAGCGUUAUCCGGAAUGAUUGGGCGUAAAGCGUCUGUAGGUGGCUUUUCAAGUCCGCCGUCAAAUCCCAGGGCUCAACCCUGGACAGGCGGUGGAAACUGCCAAGCUGGAGUACGGUAGGGGCAGAGGGAAUUUCCGGUGGAGCGGUGAAAUGCGUAGAGAUCGGAAAGAACACCAACGGCGAAGGCGGCAUCCUGGACCGGCAUUGACGCCGAGGCGCGAAAGCCAGGGGAGCAAACGGG